rnacentral:rRNA from 1 species
AACGCGAAGAACCUUACCUGGGCUCGAACGGCCGGUCAACGAUCGUGGAAACACGGUUACUCCGCAAGGGGGUCCGGUCGAGGUGCUGCAUGGCUGUCGUCAGCUCGUGUCGUGAGAUGUUGGGUUAAGUCCCGCAACGAGCGCAACCCUUGUCCUGUGUUGCAACCCCGCAAGGGGGCACUCGCAGGAGACCGCCAGCGAUAAGCUGGAGGAAGGUGGGGAUGACGUCAAGUCCUCAUGGCCUUUAUGUCCAGGGCUACACACGUGCUACAAUGGACGGUACAAAGCGUCGCUAACCUGCGAAGGGGAGCCAAUCGCAAAAAACCGUUCUCAGUUCGGAUUGCAGGCUGCAACCCGCCUGCAUGAAGCUGGAAUCGCUAGUAAUGGCAGAUCAGCACGCUGCCGUGAAUACGUUCCCGGGCCUUGUACACACCGGCUAC